UACGUAGGGUGCGAGCGUUAAUCGGAAUUACUGGGCGUAAAGCGUGCGCAGGCGGUUUUGUAAGUCAGAUGUGAAAUCCCCGGGCUUAACCUGGGAAUGGCAUUUGGGACUGCAAGGCUGGAGUUUGGCAGAGGAGACUGGAAUUCCCGGUGUAGCAGUGAAAUGCGUAGAUAUCGGGAGGAAUACCGAUGGCGAAGGCAGGUCUCUGGGCUAUAACUGACGCUCAUGCACGAAAGCGUGGGGAGCAAACAGG
rnacentral:rRNA from 1 species